AACCUUUUGUGGUUCAUGAUCAUGAUGACUGGGGUUUCACAACGUUAGGUAAGAUGGACCUGCUUUGUAUCUUAUGACAUCCACAUGGUAUCCAUCUCAUA